GCCAUCUUAGCUCAGUCGGUAGAGCGCGUGACUUGUAAUCUCGAGGUCUUCGGUUCGACUCCGGAAGAUGGCU
rnacentral:tRNA from 1 species